UGGCUCAGUGGUAGAGCGCUUGCCUUGCAUGUAUGAGGCCCUGGGUUCAAUUCCUCAG
rnacentral:tRNA from 1 species